rnacentral:tRNA from 1 species
GGGGAUGUGGCAUAGCGGUAGAGUGCUUGCCUAGCAUGCAUGAAGUCCUGAGUUCAAUUCCUCAGUACUCCA